rnacentral:rRNA from 1 species
UACGAAGGGGGCUAGCGUUGCUCGGAAUCACUGGGCGUAAAGCGCGCGCAGGCGGUCCUUUAAGUCUGAUGUGAAAGCCCACGGCUCAACCGUGGAAGGUCAUUGGAAACUGGGGGACUUGAGUGCAGAAGAGGAAAGUGGAAUUCCAAGUGUAGCGGUGAAAUGCGUAGAGAUUUGGAGGAACACCAGUGGCGAAGGCGACUUUCUGGUCUGUAACUGACGCUGAGGCGCGAAAGCGUGGGGAGCAAACAGG